rnacentral:lncRNA from 13 species
GCUGGUACCAGUUGCCAUCACAGGGCAGGCCAGAUGUCCUCUUGGGAGCAGUCCUGAACCCAUAACUGACAAGUGGAUAAAUAGCUCAACCUCCUCCUGUCCCAGUCUCCUAAGAAGAGUAAGGCUGAGUUCUCGGUGUCAGAUGCCUGUGAAUUAAAUUCCAGCAACUGCAGAGUCUCCAACAACAAUUUAUUGUCCUGACUUCCACUUUCUCAUCCAGAGGAAUUUCAGAAAGACGGGCUAAAUGGAAAUGAGCAUUAGAAGGUAGGUUAGCUCGCCUGGGCUGUCUCACAGGUUAGUGGAACCGGAAUUACUUCUCAAUCAGCCAUACCCAUUUGGCACCUUUGGCAAACCUCAAUUUUCACAGAAGGAGGAAUCAAAAAAGCUGGUGUUCAUUUGGCACAUGUCUGCUUCUAGGCCUUACUUCGGAAAUGUUCAUUGUUGUGUUAGUUCCCUAGGGCGACCAUAACGAACUAUGAAUUUGAGGGAACACAAUUCAGUCUGCAGCAAUUGUGUUGAAGCUGAACUUCAAAGAGCUUCUUUUGCCAGGGCUCCCUGCCACCCAGUCUUGCUGACCAGACAAGGGAGGAACUGAGGCCAAGAGAGGUGACCUCGGCCAAGUAAGAAAACUAUUCUAUGUCUGUUUUCUCAUCUGUAAAAUAGGAUACUAAGAGAACUGAUUUCAUGGGGUCGAGUGACUUAUUAAAAUAAGCCAUGUAUGAAAAUACCUCACACAGUGCCCAUUGCACA